UUCCGUAGGGUUAACCUGCGGAGGGAUCAUUACCGAGUUUACAACUCCCAAACCCCUGUGAACAUACCACUUGUUGCCUCGGCGGAUCAGCCCGCUCCCGGUAAAACGGGACGGCCCGCCAGAGGACCCCUAAACUCUGUUUCUAUAUGUAACUUCUGAGUAAAACCAUAAAUAAAUCAAAACUUUCAACAACGGAUCUCUUGGUUCUGGCAUCGAUGAAGAACGCAGCAAAAUGCGAUAAGUAAUGUGAAUUGCAGAAUUCAGUGAAUCAUCGAAUCUUUGAACGCACAUUGCGCCCGCCAGUAUUCUGGCGGGCAUGCCUGUUCGAGCGUCAUUUCAACCCUCAAGCACAGCUUGGUGUUGGGACUCGCGUUAAUUCGCGUUCCUCAAAUUGAUUGGCGGUCACGUCGAGCUUCCAUAGCGUAGUAGUAAAACCCUCGUUACUGGUAAUCGUCGCGGCCACGCCGUUAAACCCCAACUUCUGAAUGUGACCCUCGAUCCAUGCGAGC
rnacentral:rRNA from 1 species